rnacentral:rRNA from 1 species
UGGCGGACGGGUGAGUAAUGUCUGGGAAACUGCCUGAUGGAGGGGGAUAACUACUGGAAACGGUAGCUAAUACCGCAUAAUGUCGCAAGACCAAAGAGGGGGACCCUCGGGCCUCUUGCCAUCGGAUGUGCCCAGAUGGGAUUAGCUUGUUGGUGGGGUAACGGCUCACCAAGGCGACGAUCCCUAGCUGGUCUGAGAGGAUGACCAGCCACACUGGAACUGAGACACGGUCCAGACUCCUACGGGAGGCAGCAUG